GAGAGGAGCGCGAUGCGCCCUGGGUCCUCAGCCGCAGACACUCUCCGCGACAGCCGCUGUUCCUCAAGUGUCGGACGCUACGGCAGUCCCAAGGAGCUCCGCCAGCUGCCGGGUUUGAGGUCCUGAGUCCUUCUCCAAGCAGCCAACGCUACCCACAGGGACUCCAUCUUCACUUUAUUUUGCAUCCAAGAACUUGUUGAUGGAAUUGAUGAAAAUUCUGGAGUUGAUCACAAUGCAAAAAAAUUCUCAUUUAAAGACAAAUGGAAGAAUUUUUAUGUGAUAAAAAUCAGUCAACUGUUUUCCCCUACCUAUACUACUUGGAGGAAAGAUAAAACUCAGAAGGAAUCUUAGCUUCUUCCAUCUAAAAGGAUUGGAGUCGAAGAAUACAUGCUACAGAUGCUCAGAAUCUUUCUAUGAGAUUACUGAUGACAAGAAUAGAGCAGGAGGACAUGGGGCCUUGGAUGACCUUGAAUUCCUGACUGUCUUCUGUGGACUCCUAUGCAGAUUCCAGUUUCCAGCAUACAUUUGGCUUUCUGGUAAGUAAACUAUUGAACUUCAGGACACUCUUGGAGUGAAGGGCCAGUGAGGGGAGGAACUGUC
rnacentral:lncRNA from 1 species